rnacentral:lncRNA from 1 species
UUAUUGUGUUAUGGUAUGAGAAGGGGUCUUUUAUUUACAGAGUUCCAAAACCUUUCCUCUAAAAUAGAGGUUUGCCAAAUAUGAAAAAUUUGGUAUUACUUUUAUUUUCCUUCUUAGAAAAUAAAACGUAAAUUUGGUAAGAAAAUCAGGUCAAAAACCCUAACAAAUCUCCCCUUUUUGGUUUGAUUUUCUGGCAAAAUAUUCUUGAUCCUCCUUCUUCACACGAUCUUCAUAUAUCACUGCUGCUUCAUGAUUAAAUGUUGAUAUGGGUUGAAAAUUAGAUCCCAAAUAAAAGCAUGGGUUAAUAUUAUUGUAGCCAUGUGUUAGAAAUAAAUAGGGUUAAAAUUGGAGCUUUGUGCACUGAAAGUGAGCAUAGGUUAAGAGUAUAGCUCAUGCUUUAAAAAUAAAUGCACAAAUUGAAAAGAGCCCAAGCAUUGCAAGUAAGCAAGGGUUAAAAGUUGGAGCCCAUAAACAUGUGUUGAAAAUUGAUUUGGUUUUAAAGAUGGAUUAGCAGCAGAAUUGUUGAAAAUAUUAUUGAUAAUUAUCUCCACAUGUAGUUUUAUUUUGACAAAAUAUCUUCAUUAUCUUCAAAUUGGUUAUAAAUUGAAACUGCCUUGAACUUGUCUUUAACUUCAUUUUACCAAACCACUGGAUCUUUGAACUGUAGGAUGUGAUACCACUUGUUGGGUUCGAAAUCGAAAAGGCGCCUUGCGGAAGCUUUUAGUUUGCAAACCAUAAGACGAUAAAUCAUGCGAUAAAUAAAAGCAUGAUACUAAAAGGCAUAUUAUUGAUAUGUUUUGGCCAAACGGCCUACAUAUUAAAAAUAAAAUUGAAUAAAACUAAAACCUAUUGGGGGAAAUCUCCCCUUAAACAAAAAUUCUUUAAAGACUACAUUGUGCAUGUUAUUGUGUUAUGGUAUGAGAAGGAGGGUCUUCUAUUUAUAGAGUUCCAAAACCUUUCCUCCAAGAAAGAGGUUUGUCAAAUAUGAAAAAAAUUUAUAUUUUUCUUUCAGGAAAGUAAAAGUAAUUAUGGUAUUACUUUUAUUUUCCUUCUAAGAAAAGUAAAACUUAAAUUUGAUAAAAAAAUCAGGAUAAUAAUCCUAAUAGAAACUUAUAUGAAUAUCUUGGUUAAUGUAAUUACACACUAUGAUAGACAUUAUGACAUUAUGAUGCUUCCUUGAACCCCAGGAUUGUGUCAUCACACGGAUAAUAGGUGCAGUUUUCUUUGUAUUCUCACAUAAUGGAUGCACAAUGGAUCUUCAUGCCAAAUUAGUUGUAGCUAUACAACAACUUGGUGAAGGAGGUAAGUUUACAUCGCAAAUGUGAUGCAAUUUCUUCAAAUAUUUUCAGUCCUCGACAUAGAGAUUCUAUCUGACAAAUUCCAAAUAAUAACUAGUAGUUGAGUGAUCGCUUGAAAAAUUAUAUCUUCCAUUAGAUUGGACAAGAAAAUAAUCCAAUAUAUAUGUUGGUCAUUUUCUUUGUGAUAUAGUCAAUAAGUUGCUGGGAUGAGAAAGAAGGACAUGAAUAUUUGUUCACCUUUUAGAUCAAAUAGUAGUAACCCCGAGGAACAACUUACUCCUCUAGACAUUCCAAAACAUCAGAGGUGACGGUGUGACAGUUGCAUCAGUAAUAUUGUAGCUGAUGAAAGUGCAGGAGAUGAAAUUAAUGAUGUGUCUAUGAACACUGGCUUUAUUAAUGUGAAUGAUUCCAUAGAUACUAGUGACAAUAAGAUCAUCCCGACUUAGAAACACAACAAACCGAUGCGCAAUCUGGUAAAAAACAAGACUAUCAUAGCUGGUUAUCUUUUCUUUAAUAUUUCUAAUGGUAUAAUACAUAUAUAGUUCAAUUUGCUUUCUAUUUGAACUAGAUCUGAAGGUGUUAGAUUUGAGAAGAUUGGCAAUCUGAUAUUGAGCUGAUAGUAUCUAAGCAACACUCAACUCGAGAAAUAGAAACAAACAACUAAAGAAUGUACUGUAGGUGGUUGAGAUAAGUAUGCUUCUUAAUGCGGUUCAUUGAAGUUCAUAGGGAACAUGUUUGGAUUCAGUACAUUGGAAUGAUUUCCAUUGCCCGAGAAGUGAUUAAACAUAUUGAAAUGAUUUCCAUGGGAAUAAGUGCCAAUAUGAUUUUAUCAUUUCUUAUUGAAAAGGUUGUAGAUUUUGGAUCAAGUCAUUCAACCUGGUGAAUAAAUAUUUCAGUGGAAUUAAAGAAUGUACUAUUGGUGACUAGGGUAAAUAUGCUUCUUGAAAUGGUUCGUUGAAAAAUAACUUAUCGAUGUAGAGAGGACUUCAUCUUCCCUGUGGUGACAUUGAUAGAAAUCAUCAGCAACAAUAAAGGGACAUCAAGUAAAAGUACUCAUCAUUUCUCAAUUAAAGAAUCCUUAAAUAGAUAAAAAAGCUACUAAUAACACAACA